ACUAUUUUGGCAGAUUAAUGCAUUAAAUUUAGAAUUUAAUUAUAAUUUUAAAAAUUAGAUAGUA
rnacentral:tRNA from 1 species